AUAUGGUCGACCUGCAGGCGGCCGCGAAUUCACUAGUGAUUCGUAUUACCGCGGCUGCUGGCACGGAGUUAGCCGGAGCUUAUUCUCCCGGUACUGUCAUUAUCAUCCCGGGUAAAAGAGCUUUACGACCCUAAGGCCUUCAUCACUCACGCGGCAUUGCUGGAUCAGGCUUGCGCCCAUUGUCCAAUGUUCCCCACUGCUGCCUCCCGUAGGAGUCUGGGCCGUGUCUCAGUCCCAGUGUGGCUGAUCAUCCUCUCAGACCAGCUAAGGAUCGUCGGCUUGGUAGGCCUUUACCCCACCAACUACCUAAUCCUACGCGGGCUCAUCCCUGGCCGAUAAAUCUUUGGUCCGAAGACAUCAUCCGGUAUUAGCAGUCAUUUCUAACUGUUAUUCCGAAGCCAAGGGCAGAUUCCCACGCGUUACGCACCCGUGCGCCACUAACCCCGAAGGGUUCGUUCGACUUGCAUGUGUUAGGCAUGCCGCCAGCGUUCGUUCUGAGCCAUGAUCAAACUCUAAUCGAAUUCCCG
rnacentral:rRNA from 1 species